UACGUAGGGACCAAGCGUUGUCCGGAAUCAUUGGGCGUAAAGAGCGUGUAGGCGGCUUGUUAAGUCUUGCGUGAAAUCUCGGGGCUCAACCCCGAGCGGUCGUGAGAAACUGGCAGGCUAGAGUGCGGGAGAGGAGAGUGGAAUUCCUGGUGUAGCGGUGAAAUGCGCAGAUAUCAGGAAGAACACCAAUGGCGAAGGCAGCUCUCUGGGACGGUACUGACACUGAGACGCGAAAGCGUGGGGAGCGAACAGG
rnacentral:rRNA from 1 species